UACAGAGGGUGCAAGCGUUAAUCGGAAUUACUGGGCGUAAAGCGUGCGUAGUCGGCUAUCUAAGUCGGGUGUGAAAGCCCCGGGCUCAACCUGGGAAUUGCAUUCGAGACUGAAUAGCUAGGGUACGGUAGAGGGAAGCGGAAUUUCCGGUGUAGCGGUGAAAUGCGUAGAUAUCGGAAGGAACAUCAGUGGCGAAAGCGGCUUCCUGGACCAGUACCGACGUUCAGGCACGAAAGCGUGGGGAGCAAACAGG
rnacentral:rRNA from 1 species